rnacentral:rRNA from 1 species
UACGUAGGUGGCAAGCGUUGUCCGGAUUUAUUGGGUUUAAAGGGUGCGUAGGCGGUCCUCUAAGUCAGUUGUGAAAUACGGCAGCUUAACUGUCGAGGUGCAAUUGAUACUGGGGGACUAGAGUACUGAUGAGGUAUGCGGAAUGGACGGUGUAGCGGUGAAAUGCUUAGAUAUCGUCCAGAACACCGAUAGCGAAGGCAGCAUACUAAGGAGUAACUGACGCUGAGGCACGAAAGUGUGGGGAUCAAACAGG